GUAGGUGGCAAGCGUUGUCCGGAAUUAUUGGGUGUAAAGCGCGCGCAGGUGGUUCUUUAAGUCUGAUGUGAAAGCCCCCGGCUCAACCGGGGAGGGUCAUUGGAAACUGGGGAACUUGAGUGCAGGAGAGGAAAGUGGAAUUCCACGUGUAGCGGUGAGAUGCGUAGAUAUGCGGAGGAACACCAGUGGCGAAGGCGACUUUCUGGCCUGUAACUGACACUGAGGCGCGAAAGCGUGGGGAGCAAACAGGGAUUAGAUACCCUGGUAGUCCACGCCGUAAACGAUGAGUGCUAAGCGUUGGGGGGGUUUCCGCCCCCUCAGUGCUGCAGCUAACGCAUUAAGCACUCCGCCUGGGAGUACGGUCGCAAGACUG
rnacentral:rRNA from 1 species